rnacentral:rRNA from 1 species
GACGAACGCUGGCGGCGUGCCUAAUACAUGCAAGUUGAGCGAUGAAGAUUGGUGCUUGCACCAAUUUGAAGAGCAGCGAACGGGUGAGUAACGCGUGGGGAAUCUGCCUUUGAGCGGGGGACAACAUUUGGAAACGAAUGCUAAUACCGCAUAACAACUUUAAACAUAAGUUUUAAGUUUGAAAGAUGCAAUUGCAUCACUCAAAGAUGAUCCCGCGUUGUAUUAGCUAGUUGGUGAGGUAAAGGCUCACCAAGGCGAUGAUACAUAGCCGACCUGAGAGGGUGAUCGGCCACAUUGGGACUGAGACACGGCCCAAACUCCUACGGGAGGCAGCAGUAGGGAAGCUUCGGCAAUGGACGAAAGUCUGACCGAGCAACGACGCGUGAGUGAAGAAGGUUUUCGGAUCGUAAAACUCUGUUGGUAGAGAAGAACGUUGGUGAGAGUGGAAAGCUCAUCAAGUGACGGUAACUACCCAGAAAGGGACGGCUAACUACGUG